UCCCCCAUAUUGCACCAUCUGAGAAAGAUCCUUGCGAUUGUAUGCUUUUAGAGGUGGAAGUACCUUUGUUAUAUUACUCAAAAAUCAUAAUAAAAAGAUUAAGGAUGCUGUUUUGGAACCUCUCCAAAGAGGAGUUAGAUGGUCAGCUCUCAUUAAAAACUGGUGGGAAAAGAGGUGCCAAAAUCCUGGCUUUAAAAUCAUAAAUCUACCUGCACUAAACAAAAGCAAGAGAGAGCUGAGAAAGACAAAUGCCUCUUUAGUUGACUGGAACUAGCUGAUUCCAUGUCAGGUUCAUAGGAUUUAUGAUACUCUUUAUGCUUUCUCAUCUUUGCCUACUCCAAAAUGAAGGGCAGGGAUGGGGAGAAAAAAAUCACCAAGGAAGUGUUACAGUUACUUUGUUUUUGUUUUGGUUUGGUUUUUAAUCACAUUCUUCUUUCUAUUUAAUUCAAGUUUGUUUUUAAAGGAAAAAUUUAAAAAACACUGAUGAAAGAUAUUUCCAGAUGAAGGAACUGCCAGACUUUGUGUCUCCAACCAUUUUACAUCUAUCCAGAAUUCACAAGAAGUGAUUAUCAUCAAUGAGUUAAGAAACAACAACAACAACAAAAACAGAACUGAAGGAAAUCAUUAGCAAUGGCUCCUAGAAAUCACCAGAUAAGGAGUUUCAUAUCCUCUGUAUGGCAUAUCUUCAGGUUGUAGCACAUCAGUAGCAUGGAUCUCAACCAAAGAAAGAUCAGACAGUUGUGAGUGAAUGGAAAAUGAAAGGACAGAGCUGCAGAGAACAUUUUGCUCUUCUACAGCAUUUGGCUGCGAUGUUGGUCAGGGACGUUAUAGCUCCUCCAUGUGUUUUUACCCCAUCAGAAGUUCUCGUUUCCGGAAGUUUCUUGAAGAUAUGCAUAACUCAUAAAGUAGAGCGCAGCUUUGGAAGAAUGAGUUGACACAGACAAGGUAGCAUUCAAAAACUACAACUGAAUUAUACUGCUGCUGGAGAAAUGUGAGCCAAAAAGAAUUCAUCUUGAUAUUCCAAUCAUAAGCAGUGAAUGCAGAGUUUGCUGGUAAGAAAAAUCUAAAAGCAAAAAAGCUGAAUUUAUACUGCUUAAGGAUACGUGAUGCCACUGAGA